GACAAGUUCCAUGGCUUUCACAAUUGCCUAGACAAUUACCAGGAACUUCUCGUGCUGCAGGACAACAGACAUCACCUGCUUCUUUAUCAUCACAAGUGCAAGGUCGGCCUUCAGCUCUUAAUUCAACGUGGCCUCCCUCAUUCAUUGGAGGACAGCAACAAGCUUCAUCACCUUCUUUCAUUGGAGGACGAGGAUCAUCACAAAUGCAAGGCCAGCAGUCGGCACCUAACCCAAGGUGGCAACAAGCUUCACCACCAUCUUUUGUAGCUGGACAAGGAUCACAUCAACUGCAAGGCCAGCAGGCAGAU
rnacentral:misc_RNA from 1 species